rnacentral:rRNA from 1 species
AUUGAACGCUGGCGGCAGGCUUAACACAUGCAAGUCGAGCGGAGAUGAGGUGCUUGCACCUUAUCUUAGCGGCGGACGGGUGAGUAAUGCUUAGGAAUCUGCCUAUUAGUGGGGGACAACAUUCCGAAAGGAAUGCUAACACCGCAUACGUCCUACGGGAGAAAGCAGGGGAUCUUCGGACCUUGCGCUAAUAGAUGAGCCUAAGUCGGAUUAGCUAGUUGGUGGGGUAAAGGCCUACCAAGGCGACGAUCUGUAGCGGGUCUGAGAGGAUGAUCCGCCACACUGGGACUGAGACACGGCCCAGACUCCUACGGGAGGCAGCAGUGGGGAAUAUUGGACAAUGGGGGGAACCCCGAUCCAGCCAUGCCGCGUGUGUGAAGAAGGCCUUAUGGUUGUAAAGCACUUUAAGCGAGGAGGAGGCUACUGAGACUAAUACUCUUGGAUAGUGGACGUUACUCGCAGAAUAAGCACCGGCUAACUCUGUGCCAGCCGCCGCGGUAACAC